UUCUUGAUGGUUACACCCUAUGUAAAUGAAAGACUGACUCACAGCCAAUUAGAGACUGAGGUGAAUUGGCUCACGGCCAAUCCAAGACUGGUGUGGUUUGACUCCUUAUGCAAAUGAAUGUCCUGGAAUGAACCAAUCAUUGGCCAGAGUGCAGGUCUGGCCCAUGGCCAAUCAGAGGCUGAUGUGGUUUGAUACCUUAUGCAAAUGAAGGUCCUGGAAUGGACCAAUCACAGGCCAGUGUUCAGACUCUUCAGUGCCAGGGAGUGUGUCCAAGUCAUCCUUAGAUCCCUAUCUCUGUACCCUAUUCUCCUGCCUCAGUCUUGUGUGAGAUUUUGCACCCUUUGACCAUCAUCAUCAUCUCCCCAUUCCCCCAAUCUCUCCCUCAACUACUUCUAACCACUAUUCAUUAAUCUCUUGUAUUAUUUAGGUGUAAGGAAGAACAGAAGGAUCCAAGUGUGAGAAAGCCCACCCUGAGUCUCUCAGAGAUUCAUUUCACUACCAGGUCAAAGACACAAUCAAAAGCCCGACAAAUGGAAUUUGUGGAAUUGGAACAAAAAGCUUUUCUUCCUAGGCACAAGAACAUCAAAGCAUAAAUCCUUCAGGUAUCAGCAAUGACAUCACUUAAGAAUUUCUCAGAAUCUUUGGCACCACCCCAGGCCUACCGGAUCAGAAUCUGAAUUUUUUAACAAGAUCUCAGAUCUAGUCAAGAGUCCAAUCUGAUUUCUCUUUAUUGGGACUACCACCCAAAGCAGAAUGAGGAUGAUGUAACCACGCCCAGUGACUUCUGGAUACCACUGACUCUAGAUCCUGAAUUCCAGCAGAAUGGCUGACACCAACUGGUCUGAAGACCCUCACCAAGGAACUGACUCAGUGCAGGAAUGCAGUUUCUUCAUCUCCCUAUCCCUGACUUCACCCCUCACUUCUCAACCAAUCAGUGAUCACCACACUUUAGGCCAUCGCCUGUGUCCAGACCCCUUAAAAACCCC
rnacentral:lncRNA from 1 species